AAAAGGUAAUGCACAGCAGUGCCCAGAAUGUAGCAGCCCCAGGGAGUUUUAAUUGUGACCUCUCACACCUACACUGUGUACCAAACCAGCUGGCAGUCCAGGUGUUUGUUGUCAGAUACUGUUCCUCCAGUAGACUGAUUGUUGCUUGCAAAUGAAGAAUGGGGUUUGCCAAGAUACAUUUUGGGAUUACUGUCAAGAUGAUGCCGAACCCAAACUGCAGGAGCAGCACCUUAUAUUCUGGCCUGGGUGGUCUACAACUUAUUGGUCCUUCCCUCACCUGUGUUACAAGUACAAGGUCAAAGUUUUUCUUCAGUCCAAGUGAGAUCACUGAGGUCAGCUAAAUAACAUGGCAAAGACCUUACUUGUUGGAAGAGGUCCCUAUCAGUCUUAUAUACUUUUGAUUCCAUUUAUUACAAUACUGUGGACAUAUAGUUACUGUAUUGAGAGAUUUUUGUGCAUGUUCUGUUUUAUGGACAAAAUCAAUUUAAAUGACAUCUGUAAAAACAGAACACAUUCACUAUCUGGAGAUUGCCUGUUUCUGAAAAUACAGAAUUAUUUUUUGCCAUGGGAAUAACAUUUUUAUUUAAGGAAAAAUAUUUGA